rnacentral:piRNA from 1 species
UGAGAUGUUUGAGGGUGUCAUUUCUGAGA